rnacentral:rRNA from 1 species
GAUGAACGCUAGCUACAGGCUUAACACAUGCAAGUCGAGGGGAAACGACAUCGAAAGCUUGCUUUUGAUGGGCGUCGACCGGCGCACGGGUGAGUAACGCGUAUCCAACCUGCCCAUCACUUGGGAAUAACCUUGCGAAAGUAAGACUAAUACCCAAUGACAUCCCACGAAGACAUCUGAAUGGGAUUAAAGAUUUAUCGGCGAUGGAUGGGGAUGCGUCUGAUUAGCUUGUUGGCGGGGUAACGGCCCACCAAGGCAACGAUCAGUAGGGGUUCGGAGAGGAAGGUCCCCCACAUUGGAGCUGAGACACGGUCCAAACUCCUACGGGAGGCAGCAGUGAGGAAGAUUGGUCAAUGGGCGAGAGCCUGAACCAGCCAAGUAGCGUGCAGGAGGACGGCCCUAGGGGUUGUAAACUGCUUUUAUAAGGGAAUAAAGUGGGUCUCGUGAGACUUUUUGCAUGUACCUUAUGAAUAAGGACCGGCUAAUUCCGUG